rnacentral:rRNA from 1 species
UACCAGCUCCCUGAGUGGUAAGGACGAUUAUUUGGCCUAAAGCGUCCGUAGCCGGCUUAUCAAGUCUCUUGUUAAACCCAAUGAUUCAAUCAUUGACCCGCAAGAGAUACUGUUAUGCUAGAGGACAGGAGAGGUCGACGGUAGUCCAGGGGUAGGGGUGAAAUCCUAUAAUCCUUGGAGGACCACCAGUGGCGAAGGUGGUCGACUAGAACGUGCCUGACGGUGAGGGACGAAAGCUGGGGGAGCGAACCGGAUUAGAUACCCGGGUAGUCCCAGCUGUAAACGAUGCGGGCUAGGUGUUUGGGUAGCUACGAGCUACUCCAGUGCCGCAGAGAAGUUGUUAAGCCCGCCGCCUGGGGAGUACGGCCGCAAGGCUGAAACUUAAAGGAAUUGGCGGGGAGCACCACAAGGGGUGAAGGCUGCGGUUU